GACGAACGCUGGCGGCGUGCUUAACACAUGCAAGUCGGACGAAGUGGCGAACGGGUGAGUAAUGCCUAGGAAUCUGCCUGGUAGUGGGGGAUACCGUCCGGAAACGGGCGCUAAUACCGCAUACUAUCAGAUGAGCCUAGGUCGGAUUAGCUAGUUGGUGGGGUAAAGGCCUACCAAGGCGACGAUCCGUAACUGGUCUGAGAGGAUGAUCAGUCACACUGGAACUGAGACACGGUCCAGACUCCUACGGGGUGCAGCAGUGGGGAAUAUUGGACAAUGGGCGAAAGCCUUACGGAGCAACGCCGCGUGAGUGAUGACGGCCUUCGGGUUGUAAAGCUCUGUUAAUCGGGACGCGGUACCGGAAUAGAAAGCCACGGCUAACUACGUGCCAGCAGCCGCGGUAAUUC
rnacentral:rRNA from 1 species